UGGGGAAUAUUGCGCAAUGGGGGAAACCCUGACGCAGCAACGCCGCGUGAGUGAUGAAGGCUUUCGAGUCGUAAAACUCUGUCUUUGGGGACGAAUAAUGACGGUACCCAAGGAGGAAGCCCCGGCUAACUACGUGCCAGCAGCCGCGGUAAUACGUAGGGGGCAAGCGUUGUCCGGAAUCACUGGGCGUAAAGGGCGCGUAGGCGGUUUGUUAAGUCAGGUGUGAAAGUUUUCAGCUUAACUGGAAAAGUGCACUUGAAACUAACUUACUUGAGUACUGGAGAGGUAAGCGGAAUUCCUAGUGUAGCGGUGAAAUGCGUAGAUAUUAGGAAGAGCACCGGUGGCGAAGGCGGCUUACUGGACAGAGACUGACGCUGAGGCGCGAAAGCGUGGGGAGCAAACGG
rnacentral:rRNA from 1 species